GGGCACAUAGUGUAGUUGGUUAUCGCGCUUGCUUCGCAUUAAAUGGUGUGAUUGCGAGAGGUGUUGGGUUCAAUUCCCAAUGUGUCCA